AUGAUAGAACGCACUAAAGGUGUGUGCACAUUAACUCUUUAAUAGGCGACCAACUCUCAGCCCAAAGACUCGAGGGAAGCCAAAUUACAGGCGCGCAAUAACAUCUAACAUCCCCAGUGUGUGUGUGUAUGUGUGCGCGCAACAGGACGACGCAGUAGGAGCAGGAACCGACCACACAAACACGAUGUCACCUCAGUGUCAGCUGCCACCAUGUGCGUACGUGAUCCAGUCGAGCAGAUCCCCCCCACCCACCACCACCACCAAUGCAUCGGAACCGAACGGACCCAAUACGCACCAAAACACGCUCCCAUUUUUAGAAGAUUGGUGGAUUCAGUGUUUAUCAUCCCAACAAAAUGGGCCCCCUCUCCGCCCCCUUUUAACAGCGUCACUCCGGAACCGAACCAGCAGUUCAGGUGGGUCACAUACCAGCCGCCAGCAACCGGAUGAACGCCCGGUCUCAGCAGCCUGAGCACCGAGUCAUCACGGGUGCUUUCCACGAGUCCGCCGCAGGCCCGUCACAGCUGCGUCGAAAGUUCUCAUUUUAAAGUCCACGAGGGGCGGCUUAACUCUCCAUCACGACCGCCAAGGAUACAACGGCAGUCCGCGCACACCUUCUCUCCCGAGGACGUCCAGUGCCAUCUGCAGACCUCACACGGGAGCGAGAGGGAGAGGCUGCCGCUGGAGCCCGAGGACGGUUUACCGACGCCGUAGAGAAGGAGAUGAGCCGAGUGAUGUCCCUGUCCUGUCCCGGCAUCGAACUGCCCGGCCCUCGGCGCCUGUCUGACGGCCCGAGCCGACGAGAGGGCUCGCCAGUCUGACACCGCGCCAGCUUGGAUAAGGAGUUCAACCUAUACCUGACACUACAGCGCCGCCUGGAGAUCGUCGGUAGAGUCUACCUGACCGCCGGGCAGGUGACAAUCCGGUUCCAAAAGCCGAGGAUAAAGACGAAGAAAACAGCUGCGCAACCGGAGAGAGAGAGAAAAAAAAACACGGGGAAGCACCUGAUGGAGGCUGACUCAGACGGAGGAUAAUCCGGCUCGCGUUCGAGGCCCAGAGACACCGAGCGGAUGAAGAAGGGUGAAACACGAGAUCAGCCCGCUUGUCUUCAUCUAACGUUACAGAGUGACUCUGACACCACAGUGCAUAGACUUAAGAAGCAGAGGAAUAGACGGAGCUAAAUACGGAGCAACUGCAGGAGAGCCAACACAAGAAAAGCGGUGAACAAAGAAAAAAGAUCAGAAUUACAAAAAAUGAGUUCCUGCUGUCUUCUGGUCGCUCCCACGUGGGGAGUCAGUGGGUUCACACGGGAGCAGUGUGAUGUAGGUAGUUUCAAGUUGUUGGGCUGGAUGCUUAAGAUCACAGGAACCUGAAACUGCCUGAGUCACACCAGCUGCAUGCCGACGGACUGAGCAGAAGAGGAAACCGAGCACGGCCGGUGCUCUAGCAUCACUUCUGCUCCGUGUUUAGCCUUCAAAACGCUUUAUUCUUUGCUAAUAAAUGAGCAGUGUGAUGAAAAAUAGCAGUUGGCUGCCUUUUGCCAAAAUCCAAGUUCAAAGCACUGUAUCAUCCUUAAAUAAAUAUCAUCAUUGUUUCCAGCAAACUGCUUCCAAAUGAAUUGAUACAGUAUUUGUGCUAACCACUGAGCAGUUAGCACAGCUUGAAGAACGCAGCAAACAAGGCUAAGGCCUCCACAAGCCCCAUACCGAUCGAGUCUCUGCAGGAUGUGCAGCAACAAGCCCAAUCCAGCUCCACCCUGCAACCCGGUGGACCCAAGCGACGCGGUAACACCACAGGGCACCUUUAAAGGUCCUUUUUCAAUGCCUCAAUGGGUUGUAUGUCAACCCUCAAUGUUAUGGUAGUGGGAGGGAGACUUGCUAUAACAGGAAGGUGUUUUCAGUGUUGUAUCCUAAAAUGUGAACCAUUCAUCUGUGCCCUUAAACCUCACAGAUACACCAGCGGAAAAGCCGUACAAGCUGCGCAGUCGCACAUUGUCCAAAACCACAGUAUUUACCACAGAAUUCAGUUUUAAAGGCCCGUCGUGUAGGAUUUAGCAGUGGUGAGGUUACAGAUUGCAGCCAGCGGGAAUAGCCCUCCCGUUAUCCCACAGCCAGCGUCUAUCACACACGUCACACGUGGCAUGCACAUGGACCGUCAUUUACGUUCACACAUGGAUACUGACACAGCUAACCACGUCCUGCCUACCCGCUUUGUACGCUCCUUUGACUGGCUCAGCAUGACAAAUUCUUAAAUGACUUCUAGCUACUAUGAGAUUAGAGAUGUGAACAGGCCUCGUAAUUUGAUUUGAUCCCAAGAUUGGAGAUAAGAAUGUACGAACGUGAAUCUCAUGCAACUCGUUGAACUCAUUUUAAUUGAGGAAAAAUAAAUCUACCAGUAUAUCAACAAUGUAUGUUUUUGCCAGUUUGAACGUUAUUAGUGAAAUAUCAUGAUCAGAAACCUAAUCAAACCAAAUAAGGAGGAUAUGAAUCUAAAGUUUAUCCCAAUUUACAGGGUUCAUUUUUUUUUAGCAUCAUCGAGGGCAUACAACUCAGCUGACUGCCUGUAACAAUAUAUGUGUUAUAUCUUCCUGUUGCCAGUUUAAGGUGCUGUGACUAUGAUUUAGUAUUGUAGUGUAAAUGUCUUCAGUGCAGGAAAUGUGAUGAUGAAGACGAGUUAUCCCGGCCUCUGACUGAGGGAGUCAUGAAGAUCAAAUGGAUCUUGAGAGGUUUGAAAGAGGAAUAUUACAAAUGUUGUGUCUCACGGUUUUUCUCCCUAGUAAAUGAACAUUAUCAAACAGGUUGGAUACUAGUUGGAGUGGCCACAAUGAGUUUGUAAGCAGUAAGGUGGGCUUAUAACUUGCUGAGGAUCCCAUCUCCAUAUAACCUGGGCUGAACCUUCGUACCAAACAAAAGUGGAGGAACAAGAAAAAGAUCCUAGAACAAGAAAGAGGCGCCGCACUGGAUUUAUCUUCUGACUUGGACCCCUUCAGUCUGAGCACACAGUUUGCUUUUUUAUUACAAUAUCUCUCUACAACAUCUUGAAGGUGUUAAGGUCUUUCUGGACAAAUCCGAGGUAGCAUGCUAGGGCAGAGACUGUACAAUAAAUUUACAUUUCCAUUUGCAAGUAAGUGGCACCUAGUGAUGUGCAUAACGAUACUGAAAUAUCGAUACCACGAUACACGUCUUUUUGUUCUAAAAUGGAUUCUCAAAUCAAAAUAUUGAUACUUUCGAUACUUCAGUCAUUCGAUUUAAUCAUUAACUGGAACACAGUGGACAGUAAUUAAACGAUUGAGAUGUGGCAACACAACAAACCUUGUGAAACACCUCAGGUUAAACCACAACACAGAAUAUGAGGCAUUUGUGAUGAGGAGGACAGAAGAGGAG